AAUUCCAAGAUUCUCUCUGUCUCUCUCUCUCUCUCUCUUUCUGUGAAGCUCGACGACGACGAUGAUGAUGGCUCGCUCCCUCUCCCCUUCCUCCUCCUCCUCCUCCCCCACCCUCGCCUUCUCCAUGAAGGCCUCCUCCUCCUCGUCCUCGUCCUCCUCCCGCCUCCUCGCCCACCGCCCCCACUCCUCCUCGUCCUCCUCGUCCUCCUCCUCCCCGGCGGACGUCGGCGGCGACCCCUCCGACCCCCUCCUCCGCAAGCUGGAGGACGUCAUCCACCACCUCAUCGUCCGCCGCUCCGAGCCCGACUGGCUCCCCUUCCGCCCCGGCUCCUCCUACUGGGUCCCCCCCCGCUCCAAGUCCCGCGGCAUCGCCCAGCUCAUCGGCAAGCUCGCCUCCUCCCACUCCUCCCACUCCCACCCCCACCCUCUCGCCGACCCCUUCCUCUCCUCCUCCUCCGCCGCCUCCGCCGCCGGUCCCCACGGCUGGCCCUCCUCUUCCUUCUUCAUCCACGGCGCGCUUCCGUCUGCUUAUCCUGAGGAAGCUGCGCAGACGUCGGAUACCGAAUCUCAAUCCGAGGAUGAGGAAGGAUGAAGCUACUGCACCCCUGCUUCGGAGCUCGCAUCGGGAGGUGACGCGGCCUCUCCUUUCUCUGGGUCGGGUAACCGUCUGUUGCGGAGUCAUGAAACUAAUCCAUACAUUUUUACACAGGAACUAGACGAAGUCGAAAGGAUGCCGAUGUAUCAACUGACUGACAGGCGAAGUGGUCAGAAGGGAGCUUGUACAGAUGACCUGGUUAAUUGCUAGGAGAAGGCAGCGUAGUUUUUUCAAGACUCUGGUGUUCUUCAUGAUGCUCGCCGGCCGAGCGAAAUGUGUCGUUCUUCUUUGUACUGCUUUAUAGUCAUGUAAGAUGUUUGUUUUGCAUGGUUUGUACAUAACUUGAAAUCUUUUCUUCCAGUGUAAACCCAUAAGUUUAAUUUAUACGCAAUGCUCAUGUUCGUGUGGGUUUAUCUCA